AAUUAGAGGUGCUUCGAGGCACUUUGGGGAUUCUCCAGGAACCUUCCCAUCUUUGGGGUUCUUUGAGGAACCUGCAUGGCCAUUGUUUGUCCGCGAGCGUGGAACAUUUUGAACUGCCGUGACGGACUUUCCAACGACUUUCCAUUCAACGAACAACUCAAAGAAUGAACAAAUCUGUGGAAGAAGUGUGUGACUGGCUAUCUCCCCCAUGGGUCUGCUUUAAGCUGCAUGUGACUGGACCGAGUAAUCAGACAGCCAAUGUGCAAGGAGAGGAUGCAGCCAGCGUGCAAGGAGAGGAUGCAGCCAGCCUCAGGUGUCACCAGGAAAAAAAUGAGGGCCGAAUGCCUUAAGAAACAUCCCAAUCUAUCCAUCCUGCAAGACAAAAUGAUCCGCACACGAGUAGAGAGGAGAAAAUACUUGCAAACUCAUUCAACUAUGGAGGCCCUUGAAGAAUAUCCUGGGCUAAGAUUCCCAGUUAUACUCCUCACAGAAUCACAAAGCCAGCUAGAUGUUGACAUAGACCGCAGCAUCAUGACAGGAAUGGGUCAAAUCGCCAAGAAGGUCAUAGAGGAAUGUCAGCGGCGAGCUACUGGACAGGACCUCUUUUGCAUGUAUGAGGAGGCCAAAUCAAUGCAACAUGAGGAGUGUCACAGAGGUCUGCAAGUCAUCCUGGGCACCUUGCUCCUUCCAUACCUGUUCAGAGAGAACCCCAAAGCACUUUAUGUGAUCAAUAGAAAGGAUCCAGAGGUUCCAACGCCGGUACUGGUCAUUACAGGGAACCCCUUCAUGGAGGCUUCUUUUGCUGUUCAACUCGACUUUCAGGAUGUCCUUACCCAAGAAGUUGAUGAGGUCACCCAGGCUUUGGCCACCCUAAUGUCUAUUUAUUUUGUUUUUAAU